GUGAAUCAUCGAAUCUUUGAACGCAAAUUGCGCUUCCUGGUAUCCCGGGGAGUAUGCCUGUUUGAGGGUCAGUAUUAACAAAAAAUCGGUUUGGUUGCUAAUUUUGACGUUUCCGGAGUUUGGACUUAUCUUAACUUUUUUGGUUAAGUGGCUUAAAAUUGACCUUUUAUACGCAUUUUUAGUCGUACGUAAAUUUUUUUUUUAUUAAUCUAUUCUUAAUCCCAA
rnacentral:misc_RNA from 1 species